rnacentral:rRNA from 1 species
GCGAACGGGUGAGUAACACGUAAGCAACCUACCCUAAAGACGAGGAUAACCAUUGGAAACAGUGGCUAAGACUGGAUAGGAAGAAAUAAGGCAUCUUUUUUCUUUUAAAAGACCUAGUGAUAGGUAUACUUUAGGAGGGGCUUGCGCCAUAUUAGUUAGUUGGUAGGGUAAUGGCCUACCAAGACGAUGAUGUGUAGCUGGACUGAGAGGUUGAACAGCCACAUUGGGACUGAGACACGGCCCAAACUCCUACGGGAGGCAGCAGUAGGGAAUUUUCGGCAAUGGAGGAAACUCUGACCGAGCAACGCCGCGUGAACGACGAAGUACUUUGGUAUGUAAAGUUCUUUUAUCAAGGAAGAAAAGCAAGUGGUGAACCAUUUGUUUGCCGGUACUUGAUGAAUAAGCCCCGGCUAAUUAUGUGCCAGCAGCCGCGGUAAGACAUAAGGGGCAAGUGUUAUCCGGAAUUAUUGGGCGUAAAGGGUGCGUAGGCGGUCUAGUAAGUCAGUGGUGUAAUGGCAACGCUCAACGUUGUCCGGCUAUUGAAACUGCUAAACUUGAGUUAGAUAGAGGCGAGUGGAAUUCCAUGUGUAGCGGUAAAAUGCGUAAAUAUAUGGAGGAACACCAGAGGCGUAGGCGGCUCGCUGGGUCUUAACUGACGCUGAGGCACGAAAGCGUGGGGAGCAAACAGGAUUAGAUACCCUGGUAGUCCACGCCGUAAACGAUGAGUACUAAGUGUCGGGUUAAACCGGUACUGAAGUUAACACAUUAAGUACUCCGCCUGAGUAGUACGUACGCAAGUAUGAAACUUAAAGGAAUUGACGGGACUCCGCACAAGCGGUGGAUCAUGUUGUUUAAUUCGAAGAUACCCGAAAAACCUUACCAGGUCUUGACAUGUUUUUGCGAAACGGUAGUAAUAUCGUGGAGGUUAUCAGAAACACAGGUGGUGCAUGGUUGUCGUCAGCUCGUGUCGUGAGAUGUUAGGUUAAGUCCUAAAACGAGCGAAACCCUUAUCGUUAGUUGCCAGCACGUUAUGGUGGGGACUUUAACGAGACUGCCAGUGAUAAAUUGGAGGAAGGUGAGGAUCACGUCAAAUCAGCAUGCCCCUUAUGACCUGGGCUACAAACGUGAUACAAUGGCUGUUACAAAGGGUAGCUGAAACGCAAGUUCUUGGCCAAUCCCCAAAAACAGUCUCAGUCCGGAUUGAAGUCUGCAACUCGACUUCAUGAAGUUGGAAUCGCUAGUAAUCGCGAAUCAGCAUGUCGCGGUGAAUACGUUCUCGGGGUUUGUACACACCGCCCGUCAAACCACGAAAGUUGGCAAUACCCCAAAACGGUAGCCUAACUCGUUUAUCGAGAGGGCGCUGUCUAAGGUAGGGUCGAUGAUUGGGGUUAAGUCGUAACAAGGUAUCCCUACCGGAAGGUGGGGAUGGAUCACCUCCUUUCUAAGGAAACCAAUAAAAUCAAUCAUCUUCAGUUUUGAAAGACUUAGGAUAACUAAGUUUUUCUUCGUGACUUCACGAAGGGCCUAUAGCUCAGUUGGUUAGAGCACACGCCUGAUAAGCGUGAGGUCGGUGGUUCAAGUCCAUUUAGGCCCACCAGAGUUAUAGGUGUCGUAAGAACACAAAUUCUUUGAAAAUU